UAUCGUUUUAAUCGAUGGGGGGACGCAGUAGGAUAGGCGAAGCGUGCUGUUGGAGUGCACGUCCAAGCAGUAAGGCUGAGUGUUAGGCAAAUCCGGCACUCGUUAGGCUGAGCUGUGAUGGGGAGAGGAAAUUGUUUCCUCGAGUCGUUGAUUUCACACUGCCGAGAAAAGCCUCUAGAUAGAUAACAGGUGCCCGUACCGCAAACCGACACAGGUAGUCAAGAUGAGAAUUCUAAGGUGAGCGAGCGAACUCUCGUUAAGGAACUCGGCAAAAUGACCCCGUAACUUCGGGAGAAGGGGUGCUCUUUAGGGUUCACGCCCAGAAGAGCCGCAGUGAAUAGGCCCAAGCGACUGUUUAUCAAAAACACAGGUCUCUGCUAAACCGUAAGGUGAUGUAUAGGGGCUGACGCCUGCCCGGUGCUGGAAGGUUAAGAGGAGUGGUUAGCUUCUGCGAAGCCACGAAUCGAAGCCCCAGUAAACGGCGGCCGUAACUAUAACGGUCCUAAGGUAGCGAAAUUCCUUGUCGGGUAAGUUCCGACCCGCACGAAAGGCGUAACGAUUUGGGCACUGUCUCAACGAGAGACUCGGUGAAAUCAUAGUACCUGUGAAGAUGCAGGUUACCCGCGACAGGACGGAAAGACCCCGUGGAGCUUUACUGUAGCCUGAUAUUGAAAUUCGGCACAGCUUGUACAGGAUAGGUAGGAGCCAUUGAAACGUGAGCGCUAGCUUACGUGGAGGCGUUGGUGGGAUACUACCCUAGCUGUGUUGGCUUUCUAACCCGCACCACUUAUCGUGGUGGGAGACAGUGUCAGGCGGGCAGUUUGACUGGGGCGGUCGCCUCCUAAAAGGUAACGGAGGCGCUCAAAGGUUCCCUCAGAAUGGUUGGAAAUCAUUCACAGAGUGUAAAGGCAUAAGGGAGCUUGACUGCGAGACCUACAAGUCGAGCAGGGUCGAAAGACGGACUUAGUGAUCCGGUGGUUCCGCAUGGAAGGGCCAUCGCUCAACGGAUAAAAGCUACCCCGGGGAUAACAGGCUUAUCUCCCCCAAGAGUUCACAUCGACGGGGAGGUUUGGCACCUCGAUGUCGGCUCAUCGCAUCCUGGGGCUGUAGUCGGUCCCAAGGGUUGGGCUGUUCGCCCAUUAAAGCGGUACGCGAGCUGGGUUCAGAACGUCGUGAGACAGUUCGGUCCCUAUCCGUCGUGGGCGUAGGAAAUUUGAGAGGAGCUGUCCUUAGUACGAGAGGACCGGGAUGGACAUACCUCUGGUGUACCAGUUGUCGUGCCAACGGCAUAGCUGGGUAGCUAUGUAUGGACGGGAUAAGUGCUGAAAGCAUCUAAGCAUGAAGCCCCCCUCAAGAUGAGAUUUCCCAACUUCGGUUAUAAGAUCCCUCGAAGAUGACGAGGUUAAUAGGUUCGAGGUGGAAGCGUGGUGACACGUGGAGCUGACGAAUACUAAUCGAUCGAAGACUUAAUCAAUAUU
rnacentral:rRNA from 1 species